rnacentral:lncRNA from 12 species
UCAGAAAUUUUAAACUCUGAUGUUAUGAGAUAAAAUGAAUUCCUAAGAAAGUCCCUCUCCUUCCUUCCCUUCCUGGUAAUUACACAGAGACAUACAUGAAUACUUAUUACUGUUUGGGGCUUAAAGACAUAUUUUGCCUUUUCUGCAUUUCUACUGAAAUAGUAAUUCUUUCAGGGUGAAGCUUCACAUAUGAAGUCUCAAUUCCAGCUGCCACAUCAUUGUGUAUAAAGGCAUCACUCCCUGAGUCCCUGUGGGAAUUUCUUUCCAAUCGCCAAAUUGCUGAGACAAGCACCCUUUCACACUCCAAGGAACUAUGAAUUCUCAGUCCAUUUUUUGACACAUGGAGACUUCUCUUUCUUUUUGGGGGUAACAGUAUACUUUAUUGAUGGUACAUGACAAGGUCAUGCAUUUUAGCAGCAAAACCCCUAGACAGAUAGAAUCUGGAUCCCUGGUGAACACUGGGCUUUCAAGGACACCUGCCUGACCUGCCUUAGAAUAUAAGAAUGAAACUUAUAUUUCUAUUGUGUUAAAUCACCGAAAUCAUCAAACGUGGCAAAUACUAUUACUUAUCCUUAAUACUAUGGAGCAGUGUAAUACAGUAAUAAUUUUUUAAGAAUCUCCAAAAGCCAGAGAUUAUUUUAGAAAACAGUUGUUUCAUUGAAUUAAAAAUAUAUUAGGGCAGCCCCAGUGGCCCAGCGGUUUAGCGCCACCUUCAGCCUGGGGUGUGACCUGGAGAUCCGGGAUCGAGUCCCACGUCGGGCUCCCUGAUGGAGCCUGCUUCUCCCUCUACCUGUGCUUCUGCCUUUUUCUCUAUCUCUCUGUCUGUCAUGAAUAAAUAAAUAAAAUAUUUAAAAAUAUAUAUGUAU